GGCGGGUCGUAUUUGUCGCUGGGUAGACCUGUUUGUUUUCGGUCGGUAUUACUUAAGCGUAUUAUAUCGCAAAUCCGGCGGAGAUGUUGGGGGAGAAUUUACUUUGCGAUGGGUUCUUUGAUAAGUGCUCAAAAACCCAUCCCCGGAAUCAGGCCUGAUACCGGGAGAAGACGUUUCGACUUACUGAACCUG